rnacentral:ribozyme from 1 species
AAGGCAGAAGCGAUCGCAUAAGCUCAAUGGUUGUUGUUGGUGCUUUUUUUUCUUUUCUUUUCUUUUCUCUCUCUCUCUC